GACAGAGGGUGCAAACGUUGCUCGGAAUUACUGGGCGUAAAGCGCGUGUAGGCGGACCGGAAAGUCGGGCGUGAAAUCCCUGGGCUCAACCCAGGAACUGCACUCGAAACUUCCGGCCUUGAGUGGUGGAGAGGGUAGUGGAAUUCCUGGUGUAGAGGUGAAAUUCGUAGAUAUCAGGAGGAGCACCGGUGGCGAAGGCGGCUACCUGGACACCAACUGACGCUGAGACGCGAAAGCGUGGGGAGCAAACAGG
rnacentral:rRNA from 1 species